rnacentral:rRNA from 1 species
AUGAACGCUGGCGGCGUGCCUCAUCCCUGCAAGUCGAGCGAACAGACGAGGAGCUUGCUCCUCUGACUUUAGCGGCGGACGGGUGAGUAACACGUGGAUAACCUACCUAUAAGACUGGGAUAACUUCGGGAAACCGGAGCUAAUACCGGAUAAUAUAUUGAACCGCAUGGUUCAAUAGUGAAAGACGGUUUUGCUGUCACUUAUAGAUGGAUCCGCGCCGCAUUAGCUAGUUGGUAAGGUAACGGCUUACCAAGGCAACGAUGCGUAGCCGACCUGAGAGGGUGAUCGGCCACACUGGAACUGAGACACGGUCCAGACUCCUACGGGAGGCAGCCGUAGGGAAUCUUCCGCAAUGGGCGAAAGCCUGACGGAGCAACGCCGCGUGAGUGAUGAAGGUCUUCGGAUCGUAAAACUCUGUUAUUAGGGAAGAACAAAUGUGUAAGUAACUAUGCACGUCUUGACGGUACCUAAUCAGAAAGCCACGGCUAACUACGUG